UACAGAGGGGGCGAGCGUUGUUCGGAAUUACUGGGCGUAAAGGGCGCGUAGGCGGCCAACUAAGUCAGACGUGAAAUCCCUCGGCUCAACCGGGGAACUGCGACUGAUACUGGAUGGCUUGAAUUCGGGAGAGGGAUGCGGAAUUCCAGGUGUAGCGGUGAAAUGCGUAGAUAUCUGGAGGAACACCGGUGGCGAAGGCGGCAUCCUGGACCGAGAUUGACGCUGAUGCGCGAAAGCCAGGGGAGCAAACGGG
rnacentral:rRNA from 1 species